rnacentral:rRNA from 1 species
UACGUAGGGUGCGAGCGUUAAUCGGAAUUACUGGGCGUAAAGUGUGCGCAGGCGGCAGAGCAAGUCGAGUGUGAAAGCCCCGGGCUUAACUUGGGAAUUGCGCUCGAAACUACUUUGCUGGAGUGUGGCAGAGGAAGGUGGAAUUCCACGUGUAGCGGUGAAAUGCGUAGAUAUCUGGAGGAACACCGGUGGCGAAGGCGGCAUCCUGGACCGACACUGACGCUGAGGCGCGAAAGCUAGGGUAGCAAACGGG